rnacentral:rRNA from 1 species
GACGAACGCUGGCGGCGUGCCUAAUACAUGCAAGUCGAGCGGAGUGGUGAGGGAGCUUGCUCCCGAACCACUUAGCGGCGGACGGGUGAGUAACACGUAGGCGACCUGCCCUUCAGACUGGGAUAACUACCGGAAACGGUAGCUAAUACCGGCUAAUUCCUUUCUUCCCCUGAUGGGCGGAUGAAAGACGGAGCAAUCUGUUACUGAGGGGUGGGCCUGCGGCGCAUUAGCUAGUUGGUGGGGUAACGGCUCACCAAGGCGACGAUGCGUAGCCGACCUGAGAGGGUGAACGGCCACACUGGGACUGAGACACGGCCCAGACUCCUACGGGAGGCAGCAGUAGGGAAUCUUCCGCAAUGGGCGAAAGCCUGACGGAGCAACGCCGCGUGAGUGAUGAAGGUUUUCGGAUCGUAAAGCUCUGUUGCCAGGGAAGAACGUUCUCUAGAGUAACUGCUAGAGAAGUGACGGUACCUGAGAAGAAAGCCCCGGCUAACUACGUGCCAGCAGCCGCGGUAAAAC